GCAAACUUGGUCAUUUAGAGGAAGUAAAAGUCGUAACAAGGUCUCCGUAGGUGAACCUGCGGAGGGAUCAUUACCAGAGAUGGUGGGCCCUCGCGCCCCCGUCCCCAACCCUUUGUUGACCAAAACCUUUUUGCCUCGGGGGCAGAGCGGCCGUCAUGGGCGCCGCCCCCGGAGGACCACCAAACGCUGUCUCUGUACGUCGGAGUCUUUGAUUAAUUAAAUCAAAACUUUCAACAACGGAUCUCUUGGUUCUGGCAUCGAUGAAGAACGCAGC
rnacentral:misc_RNA from 1 species